rnacentral:rRNA from 1 species
UACGAAGGGUGCAAACGUUGCUCGGAAUUAUUGGGCGUAAAGCGCACGUAGGCGGCUAGAAAAGUUGGAUGUGAAAUCCCUCGGCUUAACCAAGGAAGUGCAUCCAAAACUGCCUAGCUUGAGUACUUAAGAGGAUCGCGGAAUUCCCGGUGUAGAGGUGAAAAUUCGUAGAUAUCGGGAGGAACACCAGUGGCGAAGGCGGCGAUCUGGGAAGAUACUGACGCUGAGGUGCGAAAGCGUGGGGAGCAAACAGG